ensembl:lncRNA
UUUUUUUUUUUUUUUUUUUUUUUUUUAUCUAAUGGUUUUGCAAAGCCAUGAAUUGUCAUAAUCUAAAGCCUUGGACUCCAUCUUGUGUUUCCAGACUCCAGUCAAUCCUGCUUUAGUUAAGAACUCUCAACUUCACUUUACUGGAAUACUGUGUACAGUUCUGCAUGAUUGUAUUGAAGUCCUACCCACUGGGAGUGGAACAGAUGCAGAUAAAGGUUGCCAGAGAGGCACAGGAUGAGAGACACAACUAGAAAAGUGUGUUUAGUCUAAGCAUGUUGACGCUAGCCUUAAAGGCAGGCAGAAACAGAGUACUGGGAAGGACAUUUAAGCUGAAUAUGAAUGCUGGUGGGGAACUAUGCAUACAUUUUGGUGUGAUUGCUUAUUCCCAGGCUGUGUCCUGGUCCUCUCCCUGCUGUUGUGCAGCUAGUGUUAAUGUGCAUAUGUACAGAACCACACCAGGAAACUUAUUCAUGCAGGGAAUCCUGCCCAUCUGCUUCUUGCAGCAUUCUGAUUGAAUUUACUGUGUUGGCACAACAGAAUGAGUAGUGAAAACCCAACUGCUGGAUUAUAUCACAUAAGUGAUAAUCCGUGUUCUUCCACUUCUUAAGAUAUGAGGCAUCAGAAAUAAGGUCCGUGACUUAAUUCUGUCUUUUUGAAAUCAUGUAGAUCUUCGCUCAAAAAUAUUAGCUUAACUGCUCCAAAUAUAAGCCGUUUUAGCUAUUCAAUUUUUAUUAAAUCUACAUUCUUGGUUAUUGUCUGGUGGAGAUUUUCUGUGUGUAUGGUUUUGGGUUUUUCAUUUGUGUUGUCAUUACAUUAGAGGUUUUUUGUUGAAGUCUGUGUAAUUGUUACUACAAAUAGUCUGGUGAAAGUUAGUGCCUCAUAAUUGUAUUUGAAUUAAACUUUUGGAUUACAUCCACACUAGGGGGUUGUGUUGUUUUAACAAUGUCUGUUUCAAAGAGUAAGGUACUAAGAGCAGAGUCCAAACUGUAUAAACAACUUGUAAGCAGUAUUUUUCCCUACAUAAUAGCGAACAGGAAAAGAAUAGUAAAGGGGAAUGACUUGCAAUUUAGAAAAAUACAGUGUAGGAGCAAAGAAAAACUUAAUUUUCUGUGUACUUUGAUAACAAAUUUGAAAAGUUGAAGGAUAAAGUUAUGCUCUCAUUGAUUGUCAUGAGAUCAGUAGAAAGGCCGAGACCUGGUUACUUCAGUCAUAGCAUGGCUCCUCAGACCUAGGAUGCAAUAACCCAGUUUGCUGUAACUGGGGACGUGUAGGUUGCUCUUCAUCAAGAUUUAACAACAUGUAGUGUCAAAAAGGGGAUUCUCUAUACACAGCAUAUCCCAGUUACAAUGCGUAUCCCAGUGCUUCUGCUUUAGUCCCCUGUUUCUUUGCACCAGUUCAUGUAUUGCUACAGUCAUCAGAUUGCUUUGCUACAAACUGCCAUUUCAGGAAGCCAUUUGCUCUAGAUCCCAAACAAAACUUGGAAGCAUUGUUUGAUAUCUUCUUCAACUUGCUUUCUAGGCCUCAUCAGGGCAUUGACAUAGACUAUGCUGGAGCUCAAGUGGAUGUGAAACAGUGCAUUUAAGGGUUAAUAGGGAAUUUAGAAUGAUUUAGGCAAUAUGAUAUGUGAACAUAUGGUGUAUGUUAAGUUCAUUCGGGACCCUCUGAAGAAAACCUGUUACCUAUUAAACUUAUGCUGAGACGGCAAAAAGAAGGGUGGCCUCUGACGGAAAUUUCUAAGCUUGCUAAAGAUGCGAAGCAAAAGGGCGACUGCGUAUGCAAAGACAUCUGAGUUCGAAAGUUCAGUAGUGAGGAAGACUAUGGAAAGUUUAGGUCACUGGACCCUAGGCUCAUUUUUGAGAUCACUGACUCAAUAAAGAACGAACUACUCAUUUGCACCUAAUUUCCAUACCAUGCGGAGAAUAGGUGGGGUUAGUUCUGAAUAUUUAUAGGUGCUAUAGAAUAUGCAUUACUUUUGUGUAUAAAUAAGGGAACUGGGGAAGCUGGGGUACACAGGAUUUGGGAAGAUUUUACCUCCCUGUGUCCAGCACUGAAUAAAUACAUACCUACUUUACAACCCUUGGCUGUGGGGUUGUUACCGUGUAUCAGAUGCAGUAUUGGAAAAUUAACUGAAAAAGAUAUUACCUGCCACUGUAAAGGCAGGUAAUAUCUUUUCUAUCCUCACUUUCUACUAAAGCUUUUAAACACUUAGUGGAUCUAAACAACUUUAUUAAUAUAUUCCCUUCUUUAAAAUGUGUAAAAAAAAGGUAUUUUAAAGAAACAGAUUUCUUAUGGAAUAUAUCUUUGUACUGAAAUGCUGAAGAGCUGUUGAUACUGUUCCAAGGAAAUUAAAAUAGAUAGCAUUUACUAUAGUAGGACCUUAUUUAGGCAAUAUAAAUUUCCUUUAAAUUACUGAGCCUUUUUUACAUUGUUUGUAUACCUCUGAAGAGCUACAACUCUGUAGAAAGAGUUAGGUAUCAAGAUUAGGUAGAAUUUAGACCAUUCAAAUAUAUAUCUUCCUACCAAAUAGUAGCAUUAGAUCACAUAAUAGCGGAGUUUCUUCACUUUUUCCACUCACUAAUCUGCAUAUUGUUUUCAAAAAAUAGUAUGUGCAGGAGAGCACAUUAAGAAAAUUUCAGUGUUUUCAUUGUUCGUAUAUAUAUAUUAUCAUAGUAAUAUUUGUCAUAAGUAAAUUAUUACUCUCCUUUGGUGAAAUAAACUGGUAGAGGGAUCAGUAGAUGAUGGUUUUACUAAAUUUCUGGUUGGUGACUCUUGUAUCCUUAGCAUGAAUAAUGAGACUCUGCAGGCGUCUGUGCCUUUUUUGCUGGUUACAGUCCAGCCUGGUGAAUCCCGUUCCUUCUACUUUUUCUAAUUUGGAUUGUUUUAAUAAAAAAGCUAUCUGAGAGCUGAGAAUGAAAUUAACUAAGAUUUUUAUUGUUGUAUGGAAAGAAUUGUACAUCAAAAAUAUGAAUGUCUGAAAUACUUUUCAGUGGACUGUUUUUUUAAAAAAAUAUAUUACUUGACUGUUGCCUAAAUUAACAUUAAAAUUUGUAUUGGGAAGCCAAACCAAAAAAAUAAUAAUAAUAAUUUAAAAAAAAGUAAGGACAGGGAACCCUUGGGCCCCCAAUUAUACCUCCACUCGCUGCAGAAGAAAAGUAGUGGUCCCAGUAUUUUUCACUAAAUUUCAACUGCUCAAAAGGAAUUAAUUUACCCAAAGUGAGGGCCAGUGAUUAAUGGCAGCCCCUGAAAUUUUUGGUAUAUAAUACAUGCUUAUCCUUGCAAACUGGAAUCAGGGUCAAGAAUCAGUAGGCAGUACACAAAGCUGAUGUGUAACUGUAGCUGGAGUUGCAAUUCAGACUAUCCCUUUAAUCUUCUAAAACUGUUUUGGGUACAGUAACUUUAUUGUUACUUCAGCAACGGUACUAAGCAGAUGCCAAUUUGUCCUCAGACCAGAAGGUUUCAUAUUUAUAUUAUUUAUUUUUCCUUUUAUAUUUAUAUUGUUAAUAAGAAAAGCUUCCCCUGUUAAUUGCAAUAUUAACCAAAAAACAGAGAAUCCUCUCAUGAGGAACAAAAAUUCUGUUUUCUGCUCUCAUGAUGUCUUAAAGAAAGAAUAUGUAGGAAACAAAGAGCAGGAGGAAGGGUGUUACUUGAACUGAUUAUGAUUUGUUUUAUAUAUCUGUGAUUAUAUUGUGAAAUGGCAGAUACAUUUACUAUUAAUGUUCUAAAUUACAUACAUGCACAUGUACAAAAAUUAGGAAUUUUCAUUUCUUACUCCUUUGUAAGCAGAUGGGAGAAAAUAUUCACUCUUUGCAGCUCCCUGUAUUUUUCUCGGUAAAAUGUUGCAAUCAACACUUUGUCUUACUAUUUAUUUCUUCUUUUUUGUCCUCACUCUACUAUCUUUAGCUAUUGAAUAAGAUUAAUAAUCCCUAUACUUUAGCUGCAGAAGUUUAAUAAACAAAGUUUAAUUUAAAAAGUGACGCACAAUAAACUUAAAGGGUUCAGCCUUACAUUGCAGAUUCUAGUCAUUCUUUUCUGGUUUGUUGUGUGUUUUUAAAAAUUGAGAAGGGAAGAAGACUGGAAGAGAACUUCAGGUUUUGUAUGUAAUUGAACUAACAGCAUGUGCUGAAAAGUAAUAAAUAACCGUGACACAGUGACUAAAUAAAUUGGUUUCCUCAAGCAGUGAUUCAUUCACUGUCUUUCAUUGCCAUCAGGUUAAGAGAUGGUUUCUUUUUGUUAGCCUAAAGGAGAAAUGUUCAAUAGUGUAACAAUCUCAUUUUAGUUCCAGCCACAACAGCCUUUAAAAUGCAUUGAAUUAAUAUUAAUAAAAAUGGAG